rnacentral:rRNA from 1 species
GAUGGACGCUGGCGGCGUGCCUAAUACAUGCAAGUCGAGCGAACAGAUGAGAAGCUUGCUUCUCUGAUGUUAGCGGCGGACGGAUGAGUAACACGUGGGUAACCUACCUAUAAGACUGGGAUAACUCCGGGAAACCGGGGCUAAUACCGGAUAAUAUUUUGAACCGCAUGGUUCAAUAGUGAAAGACGGUUUCGGCUGUCACUUAUAGAUGGACUCGCGCCGUAUUAGCUAGUUGGUAAGGUAACGGCUUACCAAGGCGACGAUACGUAGCCGACCUGAGAGGGUGAGCGGCCACACUGGAACUGAGACACGGUCCAGACUCCUACGGGGGGCAGCAGUAGGGAAUCUUCCGCAAUGGGUGAAAGCCUGACGGAGCAACGCCGCAUGAGUGAUGAAGGUCUUCGGAUCGUAAAACUCUGUUGUUAGGGAAGAACAAAUUUGUUAGUAACUGAACAAGUCUUGACGGUACCUAACCAGAAAGCCACGGCUAACUACGUGCCAGCAGCCGCCGUAA